rnacentral:tRNA from 1 species
GCCGAUGUAGCUCAGUUGGUAGAGCAAUUGAUUCGUAAUCAGUAGGUCGGCGGUUCAAGUCCGCCCAUCGGCUCCA